GGGAAUAGCGCAAUUGGUAGCGUAGCGGUCUCCAAAACCGUCGGCUGGGGGUUCGAGUCCCUCUUCCC
rnacentral:tRNA from 1 species